AGAGCGAACGCUGGCGGCAGGCUUAACACAUGCAAGUCGAGCGGGCGUAGCAAUACGUCAGCGGCAGACGGGUGAGUAACGCGUGGGAACGUACCUUUUGGUUCGGAACAACCCAGGGAAACUUGGGCUAAUACCGGAUAAGCCCUUACGGGGAAAGAUUUAUCGCCGAAAGAUCGGCCCGCGUCUGAUUAGCUAGUUGGUGAGGUAAUGGCUCACCAAGGCGACGAUCAGUAGCUGGUCUGAGAGGAUGAUCAGCCACAUUGGGACUGAGACACGGCCCAAACUCCUACGGGAGGCAGCAGUGGGAAUAUUGGACAAUGGGCGCAAGCCUGAUCCAGCCAUGCCGCGUGAGUGAUGAAGGCCCUAGGGUUGUAAAGCUCUUUUGUGCGGGAAGAUAAUGACGGUACCGCAAGAAUAAGCCCCGGCUAACUUCGCGCCAGCAGCCGC
rnacentral:rRNA from 1 species